UGACCUCGGAUCAGGUAGGGAUACCCGCUGAACUUAAGCAUAUCAAUAAGCGGAGGAAAAGAAACCAACAGGGAUUACCUCAGUAACGGCGAGUGAAGCGGUAACAGCUCAAAUUUGAAAUCUGGCCUCACGGUCCGAGUUGUAAUUUGUAGAGGAUGUUUCGAACGUGGUCCGGUCUAAGUUCCUUGGAACAGGACGUCAUAGAGGGUGAGAAUCCCGUAUGCGACUGGGUGCCUUAGUUCAUGUGAAACUCCUUCGACGAGUCGAGUUGUUUGGGAAUGCAGCUCAAAAUGGGUGGUAAAUUUCAUCUAAAGCUAAAUAUUGGCCAGAGACCGAUAGCGCACAAGUAGAGUGAUCGAAAGAUGAAAAGCACUUUGGAAAGAGAGUUAAACAGUACGUGAAAUUGUUGAAAGGGAAGCGCUUGCAAUCAGACUUGCACGCAGUUGAUCAUCCGGUGUUCUCACCGGUGCACUCGAUUGUGUUCAGGCCAGCAUCGGUUUCGGUGGUUGGAUAAAGGCCUUGGGAACGUAGCUCCUUUCGGGGAGUGUUAUAGCCCUCGGUGCAAUGCAGCCUACCGGGACCGAGGACCGCGCUUCGGCUAGGAUGCUGGCGUAAUGGUUGUAAGCGACCCGUCUG
rnacentral:rRNA from 1 species